rnacentral:lncRNA from 1 species
GCAAGAUUUGAAUUAUUGACCUCCGCUGUCAAGCCAGCUGCGUUUUGUAAUAGUUGAUGUUGCCGCGACCCAAGAAAUCAGACAAUGCGGCGCCUUUGGUACUAUUGGUUGCACCAUGUCCGACCCAGGUCUUGAUUGGAGACUCCCAGUGACUCACGAUCCAAAGAAUCUAAUGCGUGCCCCUCUUAUUUGUUGAUGAGAUCUCUAGGUGACGAUUAUGAAUGAAAUCUUG